rnacentral:rRNA from 1 species
GUGUCAGCAGCCGCGGUAAUACGUAGGGUGCGAGCGUUAAUCGGAAUUACUGGGCGUAAAGCGUGCGCAGGCGGUUCGUUAAGUCAGAUGUGAAAUCCCUGGGCUCAACCUAGGAAUUGCGUUUGAGACUGAAGAACUAGAGUACAGGAGAGGGAAGUGGAAUUUCCGGUGUAGCGGUGAAAUGCGUAGAUAUCGGAAGGAACAUCAGUGGCGAAGGCGACUUCCUGGACUGUUACUGACACUGAGGCACGAAAGCUAGGGGAGCAAACAGGAUUAGAUACCCUGGUAGUCC